UGGGGAAUCUUGCGCAAUGGGCGAAAGCCUGACGCAGCGACGCCGCGUGGGGGAUGAAGGCCCUCGGGUUGUAAACCCCUUUCGGCAGGGAAGAAGCGAAAGUGACGGUACCUGCAGAAGAAGCCCCGGCUAACUACGUGCCAGCAGCCGCGGUAAGACGUAGGGGGCGAGCGUUGUCCGGAUUCAUUGGGCGUAAAGCGCGCGCAGGCGGCUCGGAUAGUCGGGUGUGAAAACCCGGGGCUCAACCCCGGGCCUGCAUUCGAUACUGCCGGGCUAGAGGCAGGUAGGGGAGAGUGGAAUUCCUGGUGUAGCGGUGAAAUGCGCAGAUAUCAGGAGGAACACCGGUGGCGAAGGCGGCUCUCUGGACCUGUCCUGACGCUCAGGCGCGAAAGCUAGGGGAGCAAACAG
rnacentral:rRNA from 1 species